rnacentral:rRNA from 1 species
UACAGAGGUCUCAAGCGUUGUUCGGAUUCAUUGGGCGUAAAGGGUGCGUAGGCGGCGCGGUAAGUCGGGUGUGAAAUCUCGGAGCUUAACUCCGAAACUGCAUUCGAUACUGCCGUGCUUGAGGACUGGAGAGGAGACUGGAAUUUACGGUGUAGCGGUGAAAUGCGUAGAUAUCGUAAGGAAGACCAGUGGCGAAGGCGGGUCUCUGGACAGUUCCUGACGCUGAGACACGAAGGCCAGGGGAGCAAACGGG